rnacentral:rRNA from 1 species
GCAUAUCAAUAAGCGGAGGAAAAGAAACCAACAGGGAUUGCCCUAGUAACGGCGAGUGAAGCGGCAACAGCUCAAAUUUGAAAUCUGGCCUCGGCCCGAGUUGUAAUUUGCAGAGGAAGCUUUAGGCGCGGCACCUUCUGAGUCCCCUGGAACGGGGCGCCAUAGAGGGUGAGAGCCCCGUAUAGUUGGAUGCCUAGCCUGUGUAAAGCUCCUUCGACGAGUCGAGUAGUUUGGGAAUGCUGCUCAAAAUGGGAGGUAAAUUUCUUCUAAAGCUAAAUACCGGCCAGAGACCGAUAGCGCACAAGUAGAGUGAUCGAAAGAUGAAAAGCACUUUGAAAAGAGGGUUAAACAGCACGUGAAAUUGUUGAAAGGGAAGCGCUUGUGACCAGACUUGCGCCAGGCCGAUCAUCCGGUGUUCUCACCGGUGCACUCGGCCCGGCACAGGCCAGCAUCGGUUCUCGCGGGGGGAUAAAGGUCCCGGGAACGUAGCUCCUCCGGGAGUGUUAUAGCCCGGGGCGUAAUGCCCUCGCGGGGACCGAGGUUCGCGCAUCUGCAAGGAUG